rnacentral:rRNA from 1 species
UACGGGGGGGGCAAGCGUUGUUCGGAAUUACUGGGCGUAAAGGGUUCGUAGGUGGCUUGCUUAGUCAGACGUGAAAUCCCUCAGCUUAACUCCGAAACUGCAUUCGAUACUGCCGUGCUUGAGGACUGGAGAGGAGACUGGAAUUUACGGUGUAGCGGUGAAAUGCGUAGAUAUCGUAAGGAAGACCAGUGGCGAAGGCGGGUCUCUGGACAGUUCCUGACGCUGAGGCACGAAGGCCAGGGGAGCAAACGGG